rnacentral:lncRNA from 1 species
ACAUCUUUUUUAAGAUUUGUUGAAAUCGUGAAACGCAGCAACUCAUGUAUUUUUUCGUCUGCUACGAGUGACUUGUGUAGUUCUGCGAAAUAUUAAUUUAAAAAAAAAACAGUGAUAGAAAAGGGGGUUAAGACCUCUUAUGAACUCAGAUACUUCAAUAUCAACAAUGAGGAAGAGGAUGAUGAUGAUGACAAGGAAUAAGUUCGUCUCCCCGUUGUUUCGUUUUUGCUGUAAAGUAAUAAACGAUGACCAUUAUAUUUGUACAAUUGUUACUGCAUUAAACUUGACACCAUUCCUUGACGCAUACUUUCAGGGUUAUUUUUACAUAAAAAAACUGUCAGUAUUAAGAUUAUUCGUAUGGAACUUUAGUAGGCUGUGUACGAAGGGAAUUAUAAUUUUGCAUUAAGAAGAUUCCAGGUUAUGAAGGAACUUGGUCUAAGCAUUUGCUAGUAAGAUGUCGGAUCCAUUCAUGUGGUUGCAUGUUUCGAUUUGACCAAUAAUUCGUAUCAGACAUGAAGGCUGGGAAGACAGUGAAAGUGAAGUAAAUGCAUUCUGCGUAAAGCAAUCGACCUUCAAUACAACUGUUAUCAAAUUGAGGCAAGUAAAAUAUAAUUAAGUGAAACUAAGCUAAUUUUCUAGAUCUCGAGUAAUAUUUUGUAAAUAUUUAUCUAAACUCAAAAUUGAAAGCCAGACAACAAGUAAUGGAAUGUCAUGUAUAUUUCUCAAUUUACAAAAAUUUCAUCACUUGAAUCAUAACAAAGAGCUUUAUCGACGAUUCAAAUCUAAAUCUUCCAUGAAGGAAGUUAAGUUCAGCCGAAUCUUUUUACUGCCUUGACUUACGCAUUGAAGAAGAUUCAUCAUCUGCCUAGGAGUAUAUUCCUUCAACAAAGGCAUAAACAAAAUUAUUAGCUGCUGACGACGCGAAUUUCUUAAAUUAAUGACAACGAAUUUUCAGGUAAAUAAUAUGCCUUUAUGUAUGUUUCGACAAUAUGUGGGUCAGGAAGAGGUCUUAGACGUGUCAAGCUUUCCACUUUGACUUGAAAAUGCCUGAAGUCUAACUGCAUUAGUGCACGACCUUCGUUCGUGCAUUUUCUUACAGCGGAAAAUCUAAAGAAUUUCAAAUCGGAUACGGUCUUACAUAAAGGAGGCAGAAUCUGAGGGUAACAGACACGAAGGACACUCAAGUCGUAGUCACUGAGAACCUGCGAAAGAAAUAAGAAUUAGAUCAUAGAUGGAAUAUGAUUUUGAUAGCUUUUUGUUUCAACA